CAGAUAUCGUGUGGCCCUUCCAAGAAAUGGCUGAGGAUUCCUGGUGAGGCAGAACAGGUACCGUUGACAUCACUGCAGAGAAGUUGCGGGAGCUUGGAAUCGGCGUGGCACAGUGCUGGAGCUGCCUUGCCUGUGGGUGUUAGCAAUGGUAGUGUGUAGAGCGUGUCAGUGAUGGACCGGAGCGGCAAUCGAUCGGCCUCCUUGCGCUCUGCUUUGAUUUUUUGCAGAUAUGCAGCGGCUUUCCUGGCGGGCUGAAGAGAG